rnacentral:rRNA from 1 species
UACGGAGGGUGCGAGCGUUGUCCGGAAUCACUGGGCGUAAAGGGCGCGUAGGCGGCGCGGGCAGUCAACGGUGAAAGCUUGGGGCUCAACUCCGAGUCGGCCGUCGAUACUCCCGGGCUGGAGCACUGUAGAGGCAGGUGGAAUUCCGGGUGUAGCGGUGGAAUGCGUAGAGAUCCGGAAGAACACCGGUGGCGAAGGCGGCCUGCUGGGCAGUAGCUGACGCUGAGGCGCGACAGCGUGGGGAGCAAACAGG